rnacentral:rRNA from 1 species
ACACUCCUACGGGAGGCAGCAGUGGGGAAUAUUGCACAAUGGGCGCAAGCCUGAUGCAGCCAUGCCGCGUGUAUGAAGAAGGCCUUCGGGUUGUAAAGUACUUUCAGCGGGGAGGAAGGCGAUAAGGUUAAUAACCUUGUCGAUUGACGUUAACCGCAGAAGAAGCACCGGCUAACUCCGUGCCAGCAGCCGCGGUAAUACGGAGGGUGCAAGCGUUAAUCGGAAUUACUGGGCGUAAAGCGCACGCAGGCGGUCUGUCAAGUCGGAUGUGAAAUCCCCGGGCUCAACCUGGGAACUGCAUUCGAAACUGGCAGGCUAGAGUCUUGUAGAGGGGGGUAGAAUUCCAGGUGUAGCGGUGAAAUGCGUAGAGAUCUGGAGGAAUACCGGUGGCGAAGGCGGUCCCCUGGACAAAGACUGACGCUCAGGUGCGAAAGCGUGGGGAGCAAACAGGAUUAGAUACCCCAGUAGUCCCA